UACGUAGGUGGCAAGCGUUGUCCGGAUUUACUGGGCGUAAAGGGAGCGUAGGCGGGCUUUUAAGUGGGAUGUGAAAUACCCGGGCUUAACCUGGGUGCUGCAUUCCAAACUGGAAGUCUAGAGUGCAGGAGGGGAAAGUGGAAUUCCUAGUGUAGCGGUGAAAUGCGUAGAGAUUAGGAAGAACACCAGUGGCGAAGGCGACUUUCUGGACUGUAACUGACGCUGAGGCUCGAAAGCGUGGGGAGCGAACAGG
rnacentral:rRNA from 1 species